rnacentral:rRNA from 1 species
CACAUGCAAGUCGAGGGGCAUCAGUUUGGUUUGCUUGCAAACCAAAGCUGGCGACCGGCGCACGGGUGAGUAACACGUAUCCAACCUGCCUCAUACUCGGGGAUAGCCUUUCGAAAGAAAGAUUAAUAUCCGAUAGCAUAUAUUUCCCGCAUGGGUUUUAUAUUAAAGAAAUUCGGUAUGAGAUGGGGAUGCGUUCCAUUAGUUUGUUGGCGGGGUAACGGCCCACCAAGACUACGAUGGAUAGGGGUUCUGAGAGGAAGGUCCCCCACAUUGGAACUGAGACACGGUCCAAACUCCUACGGGAGGCAGCAGUGAGGAAUAUUGGUCAAUGGACGCGAGUCUGAACCAGCCAAGUAGCGUGAAGGAUGACUGCCCUAUGGGUUGUAAACUUCUUUUAUAUGGGAAUAAAGUGGUCCACGUGUGGAUUUUUGUAUGUACCAUAUGAAUAAGGAUCGGCUAACUCCGUGCCAGCAGCCGCGGUAAUACGGAGGAUCCGAGCGUUAUCCGGAUUUAUUGGGUUUAAAGGGAGCGUAGGCGGAUUGUUAAGUCAGUUGUGAAAGUUUGCGGCUCAACCGUAAAAUUGCAGUUGAUACUGGCAGUCUUGAGUGCAGUAGAGGUGGGCGGAAUUCGUGGUGUAGCGGUGAAAUGCUUAGAUAUCACGAAGAACUCCGAUUGCGAAGGCAGCUCACUGGAGUGUAACUGACGCUGAUGCUCGAAAGUGUGGGUAUCAAACAGGAUUAGAUACCCUGGUAGUCCACACAGUAAACGAUGAAUACUCGCUGUUUGCGAUAUACAGUAAGCGGCCAAGCGAAAGCAUUAAGUAUUCCACCUGGGGAGUACGCCGGCAACGGUGAAACUCAAA